CCUACGGGCGGCUGCAGUGGGGAAUAUUGGACAAUGGGGGCAACCCUGAUCCAGCCAUGCCGCGUGUGUGAAGAAGGCCCUCGGGUUGUAAAGCACUUUCAGUGAGGAAGAACGCCUGGUGGUUAAUACCCAUCAGGAAAGACAUCACUCACAGAAGAAGCACCGGCUAACUCCGUGCCAGCAGCCGCGGUAAUACGGAGGGUGCGAGCGUUAAUCGGAAUUACUGGGCGUAAAGCGCGCGUAGGUGGCUUGAUAAGCCGGUUGUGAAAGCCCCGGGCUCAACCUGGGAACGGCAUCCGGAACUGUCAAGCUAGAGUGCAGGAGAGGAAGGUAGAAUUCCCGGUGUAGCGGUGAAAUGCGUAGAGCUCGGGAGGAAUACCAGUGGCGAAGGCGGCCUUCUGGACUGACACUGACACUGAGGUGCGAAAGCGUGGGUAGCAAACAGGAUUAGAUACCCUAGUAGUC
rnacentral:rRNA from 1 species